rnacentral:rRNA from 1 species
ACCACUUUAAUUUGAUGGACAGCGUAUGCAAUAAAUAUAUUUAAAUAUGGACUCUAAAGAAAAAUCCAGUUUAAAAUUUUAAAUAAUAUAAGCAAUUAUAAUUUAGAUAGUUUAUUAAUUUAGGUUUAUUAGGUGCCAGCAACCGCGGUCAAACCUAAUAGAUUAGUAUACCACCACAUUAAAUAAUUAAUUACCUAUUAAAAGAAGAUAAUAAAUAGUGAAAUAUUAUUAUUAAUAUAAUUUCGUCAAUAGCAAGUAUUAUACUAAACUCAUAUAUAAAACUAGGAUUAGAGACCCUACUAUUAUGAAUCCAAAUUAUUAUUUAUUAAGAACUAAUAUUUUAUAAUUUAAACUUUAAAAUUAUGGCGGCUAAACAAAACACUUAGGGGAACUUACCAUAUAAUUGAUAGCCACCAAGCAUAAUCAUACUUACCUUUUAAAAUUUGUAUACCGUUGUCUACAUAAACCCUUCAAAGGGGUUUAAAACUAUAAAUAAAAUAGUAAGACAAAUCAAGGUGCAGUAAAUAGAUAAGAAAUAAGGCGAGUUACAAUAAAUAAUUUUUUCGGAAUUACUAAUGAAAAUACACUAUAAAGACGGACUUAAAAGUAAUCUUUAAGGAUAAACAAAAUAUGAAUUCGUUUUGUUUAGUGUA